UGCCUCCUAAUUAGUAUACUGUAUUUACAUUAUGCUUUUCAGGAGCAAGUGGAGCAGCAUGAAUGGGCCUCUAUUUACACCUGCUAAGCACCUGCCAGCCAACUGACCUUUAUGUUUAGCUGUGUCUGAUUUUCUUUCCUGUUACUAUCAAGAGCAUGUCUGUGGCAUUACACAUCAACACAGGGAUUAUGAAAACAAUCAGGUACAGAACUAUAUUCCAUAAGUAGAUUUGCAAAAUAAAGUAUUUUAUUCCUUUCUCAUUACAAUGGUAGAGACAGAAAAUUUCAUUAAAGCAUCAUAAACUUCAUAGUACACACUUAAGUGUGCCAAAAAAGCAAACAAAACAAAGAAUGUUAGGACUAGCAAUAGCUUCAUAGGGCAAUUGGUGUCCAGCCCCUGCUUUUCAGAUGAAAAUGUAAGGUCACAGGUUAGCAGAAUUGCUUAAUAAUACAAGUUAGGCAAUAUAGUAUUUUACUCAUAGUUAGUAUAUACAGUAUUUAUCAUUAUAACUGAUAUAAUAGAAAAAAACCUUUCAGCUUUCUUGCAAUUAAAAAGUGACAGGUGAGGUUGCAGUAAGCCUAGAUAGCACCACUGCACUCCAGCCUGGGUAACAGAGCAAGACCCUGUCUCCAAAAUAAAUCAAAAGUCACAGACAUUGAAAUAUUUAUUAAUCACAUUGCUCACUGACCUACUCCAUUCUGGAAAAAAAAAAGAACACAGGAUUUUUUUUUCUUGUAAUGGGAAAUUUUAAUUCUAAAAAGGCCAAUUCCCAAUCACUUAGUUUCUAGUCCUCCUUUAAAAAUUACUUCUUCAAAAUCCCAAGAAAUAAAAGAGAUUUGCUAAAGAUUCAACUAAGCAAAAGUCCUAUCAAGUAUCUUUACAUAUACUCACCACCUAUUUGCCCUUCUUUCUUGGUGACCUAGCUGUAUGUCCUUUGCCCAUUUUUGUUGGGUGGAGAGAAGUUUGGUCUUUAAUUUUUAAGUACUCUCUAAAUAAUAAAGCAAUUAGCUUUUGUGAUGUAAGUUGCAUUUUUUUCUUGCAGUUUAUCAGUUGAUUUUUCUUAAGCUGGUUUUUUUUCCCUCUCUUCCAUGAUUUUAAAUUGAAAUUCAGGUUCAUGUCUAUCUCACUCCUUAUACUGCUGUCAAAGUAAAUGUGGCAAAAUUCACCUUUAAAGCAACUAUUAAACAGAAUUACAUAGAAAUGAGCAUUAGUCAUAUAUAAAGCUAUUAUUAAAUAUCCAGAAAUAUUCUGAUGUUUUCUAGAGGUCAUUAGCAUGGCCCAUAAUAUCAUAACACAUUUUUGUUCUCUAAAGAUGUGGACUGGUUAAAGAACACAAGGUCACUUAUUUUAAAAAUAUCAGAACACGUUUAUUAUUUUGAUACAUUUUUUAAAAGUUGUGUUUUAAAAAGUUAAUUUAGUAUAUUCUGAAUCCAU
rnacentral:lncRNA from 10 species